UUCCACCGUUAUUCCAAAAUACCCUCGCUGUUAUCCCCUAUUAGUUUAACUCGGGUUAAACAUGGGUUAAAUGUAUACUUGAGUUAAAACUAUCUAAAAUACCAAUUUUGCCCCUACCUUAUUAUCCUAAUCCCUUAAGUUAUCCUUUCUUUCGCUCCCUCCCAUCUUUCUUCUCCUACGACGCGCGACUUGGCCCCAUUCACAACCGU
rnacentral:lncRNA from 1 species